UCAAAACUCUCUCCUCUCUCAUGUCAUUAUUAGUGUGAAAAAAAUUCUAUCUUGGCAAGAAAGCUUAUCCGGAGAUAGGAAGAUCCAAUGCAAUUAAUUGGCGUUAAAGGGCUUAAAUCCAUGAUUGAUAAGGAAGCUGAUAUUAUAUCACAUAUCAUGCACCAUGCAGAUCUCUCCAGGUCAUCAACCUUCAUCUGCUACUGCUCUUCCUGAAGGCCUUGGCAUGAAGCACGGCAAAGCCCAAAGGGCAAACCAGUUUCUGGAAUCCUUGAAAGCAGAAGAUGAAAUGAUUGUUGAAGACAUGCAGCUAUCAAUGUUAGCCCAAUAUACAUCAACUGCUCAAAAGCUAACUGAUCCCUGUCACUUUGACCGCUGAGAAGAAACUCAAUGUCACUCUAAAACGGGAUGGUGGAAUGAGUAACUUCGAUGUUCAAGGGAAAUUAUCACUUCAAAUUCUUAACCAAGAAGAUGGGUUCAUCCAAGUUCAGGUCUACCAUCAAUCUCUCUCUCACACUCUUUGUCUCUGUUGUGCAUGCCUGAUUGAGAUUGAAACUAGGGGAAUCCAUGCGUCAUUUUCAAGACACAUCCUAACAUGAACAAAGAAUUAUUCGCUAAUGAAAGCAUUUUAGGCUUGAGGGAUCCCAACAGACCUUUCCCACUGGUCAAAACAGGGAUCCAGGUGUUGGACUUUGAAGUGGAGAAUGCAAAGAGUUGAUGAGUCAAUGGUGCCCCUGACACGUGGAUCCAAAUCUAAAGCAAUAGCUUAUCUGAUCACUUUACACUUUCUGUUGUAUGUUUUAAUGCUGUGUUUAAUUCUAUUGCAGUCGAUUGCUGGCCAUUUGAUUCUGGAAAUGAAACAUGUGUCAGCAUUGAGUAUGAAGCUUCAUUAAUGCUUGAUCUAUGAAACAUUAUGAUUUCAGUUGCUCUACCAGCCCUUCGAGAUGCACCAAGGGUUAGGCAGAUUGAUGGAGAACAGAACCUUGCAGCUUCUCAGACAGCACUUGAAGAAAUCACAACAGCCUUUGGAAUUUCUACUACAUGAUGCUUCCCUUUCAAGCGCUGAGAAACACAGGCGGUCUGCAUAGCCCUUCACAAAGGACCUCUAACGUAGACAUGCAAUCAAAUCAGCAUUACUUUGGAUCUCUCCUUUAUGUACAGAUUUCAGCUUCUUUUUGCUUGCUUCAACUGCAGAGAAAUCACUAAAAAAAUACCAGUGGAGGACGAUGAUUUCAGCAUGACAAACAACGCUUUAUCGGAGGCCGAGGAUGCCUUUAUUGUUCACAUUAUGGAGAAGUGGGUCAUUGGGUACAAACUUGCUAUAAAUUAUACAGGUACCCACCGGGUCACCUAAUGGCAAGGUAUGGGUCAAGGUCAAAACAUUUCAACAACAAAAAUUCUAUAGCCAAUCAUGUGUCCAAAGAAGCCUCUGUAGAAGAUGGACAACCACUUAUCGGGAUUUCACAGGAACAAUUAAAAUAGCUCUUAUCACUUUUAGAUAAUAAAAGUAAAGGACCCAGCUCAUGCAAAUAUCGUAUCUAAACCAAGUUUGUCUGAGGUCAAUUCCCGUAGUUGGAUCAUUGAUAGCGGAGCAACAAAUCACAUUUCUUCUAAAUUAUUUUCUAACAAGCAUAAAAAAUGCGCAUUGCCUCCAGUAUUACUGCCUAGUGGAGAAAAGGCUAAAAUUGUUGCAAAUGAUUCUUUACCUCUUAAUUCUGUCUAUUAUCUGUACAAUAUGUUAUAUGUACAUACAUUUAAAGUAGAUUUGAUAUCUAUCACUCGUUUGACGAGAGACUUGAAUUGCUCAAUAAUUUUCUUUCCUUAUUGGU